GCACAGGGAACACUCAUAGUGACAUGUUCAUACACUCUGAGCCAUAGAUCCUUUUCAGAAUUGCCUUCCAACAUAGUGUUGUAAGUAUAGUUUGACUGCUACCUAAAAGAAAUCUGUAUAUUAGAGGCUUUUCAUGUAUUGGGUAUUAAAAAACCUAAAGAGUAAUAAAAGUCUCAUAAAUAAAAGUCUCCUCUCUACAACCCCUCUCUGACAGCAGGAUCAAGACCUAAGUUGAGCUGGAUGGACGUCUGAUGACAAGAGGAGCAAAGUGAAAUUAAGAGAGCCGACCAGCAUCAUGCAGCGCUGGAGGAAGAGGCGCUGGGAGUGAGAGCCAGGCUGCUGGCAGUGCUCCACCACAUAAUAUUUAUGUGUGCGAUAUUUGUACACACGCC